UUUUAAUUCAACAUCGAGGUCACAAACCUAAUUAUUAAUAAGAACUUUCCAAUUAAAUUAUGCUGUUAACCCUAGAGUAACUAAAUUAAUUUUUCUUUCCUAUUUAAAAAUUUUUAUCUUCAAAUAUUGCCCCAAUAAAAAACUUAAAACUUUUAAGCUUCUAGGGUCUUCUCGUCCCAAAAAUUUAUGAUAGCAUUUUUACUAUCAAUUAAAAUUUAAAAUUAUUUUAUAAAACUUUCCUCUUAGAUUCUAUCCUUCAUUCCAGUCUUCAAUAAAAAGA
rnacentral:rRNA from 1 species